AAAAUAUACUUUUACUACUUUACGAACGAUAAGAGUAACAUACAUAAGAAUGUAAAUGUAUAUCCUUUUAUUAUUAUAAUUAAAAAGGGAAAUAUAAAAUGUAAAAUUUAUUGCCAUAUAAAUUAUAUGUUAAUAAUUUAUACUUAAAACUUCAAUGGUAAUAUAUAUAUAUAUAUAUAUAUAUAUAUAUAUAUAUAUACAAAAUAAACCUUACAAUACUUUUGUUCAUUUGUAUAUUUUCUUUAUUUCACAUAUAACCAUUUUUAAUUAAAUAAAAACUUCAUUUACUUUCAAAUGUUCUUAUAAAUAUAAAAGUAUAUUAAAAAAUAUCCUUUUCUUACGAAAAAAUAAAAUAAAAACAUAGUAACUCAUUCAUUUAUAAAUAUAUUCUGAUGAAUAUUAUUACUAAAAAUAUUUUCUUUUUGUUGAUAUUAUUAAUAAAUAUAUUUAUAAAGCCAAGGUAAUAAAGAUUUAAAUAUAAUAAUAUAUAUAUCAAAAUAAUUGAGAAAACUAAAAAAACAAACAAAGGAAACUAUUCUCUUUAAUAUUGAAACAAUAUAUAAUAUUAUUACAUAAUAAAUAUUUUGUUUUGGAACUAAUAAGGAUCGUUAUAAAAUAAAUAUUAGCAAAAUAAAAAAUAAGAUUAACAAUAUUUAAAAUAUAAUAUAUAUAUAUAUAUAUAUAUAUAUAUAUAUAUAUAAUAUAUAUGAAUACUUUUGAGAGCUUGCGAAUAAAUUUUUUUCCUUUUUCUUAAGAAAAAAAAAAAUUAAGG